UAUGUCCCUAUGGCCCAUCAUUCCUACGUGGUUGAUAAUGCACCUGUUGGAGCAAUCUUAGUUUUGAUGGUCUCAAUAGCCAGCAGCAGAUGUGCCCAAGUCACCCCUCUGAAACUCCAAGAACGUCUGUUAGAGCAUCCACGUGUUGGGUUAGAUUGCCACAUGAAAAAUCCAUUGACAUCCUUUAGCCUUAAUGUGGAAGUGAAGUCUGGGCAAGCCAUUCCACCCCACUAACAAACCAUGUUGCAGUUUACAAGGAGAACCUGCAAGCAUGAAGAAGCCGCCUGAGCCAGCGGAUCAAAGAACAGACUGUCUGACCAUCUCCACACCAGAAAUCCACCACGGCAUUAUCCUCUCUGAAGCCUUAUGUGUGUAUAGAUAGAAAUAUAUAUGCACACAUGUAUAUGUGUUCCUGUACAUCAUAUAUGACACAGAGCAGCAUCAGCUAUGAAAGAGAUGACUGAACAAAGUCAUACUGACCAAUCUUGACAUCUAAGUUCUAUCAGAGGCAGCCCAAGGCUUCUCCAAGCAGCCUACAUUAAAUUCUGCUGUUUCAAAGGGGGCAGAACGGUUUUAUUUCACUCUCAAUCACCAGAACGCGGUUUUGCUGCUGCUGCAACAGCUCCCGAAGCUGCCAUACUCCUCAAGUAACUCAGACUGCUGAAGGAAGGGGAGCUUCCUGUCUUCAGUAACACACAGCCACAGUCCUGCAGCACCCUUCCACCUCUAAGCUCGGUCAGCAGCCAGCAGAAAGAAAAACUGACAAAGCGGGGAAAGCACAGUUCUUCAGCUAAGCUAUGCUGUCAUGAAUCAGAAAACUGAACAAGUGAGCUUCUCUGUAGUCUGUCAAAGUCUGUUCUGAGAGGCAGUAAAGCCACACUGGUUUUAUAUGUAAACAGGUUCAUUUUGUACCUUUUUUAAAACUCUGUAAAAAGCAUAAUUUCUCUCUUUACUAAAAAAAAAACCCUGACAACAAAAAAAAUAUACCCAGUCAAAGAAAUGACAAAUCUAGCAUAGUAGGUGGUGUCAGUUAAUCCAUCUUUUUUUAGUAUUACUCUUUCAAAGGAUGCUCAGCACUGUAGUUUUGGACUGCCACUUAAAUUUUUGCUUUGAAAGUGUGUGUUUGGCUUUUUCCUUGUGUGCAAGGCAAUAGGUGGUCUGCUAACAGAAAUUUACAUGAUGGAUGCUUUUAUAGCCAUUUAUUUCUGCACCUGGAAAGGUGACAAACGCAAGAACUAAGGAACUCUUACUUCUCACAUGCCCCAAAAGAAAUCUCUUUAUUUCCCUAUGUGGCUCAAACACAAUCUCUGUCUUCUGUACCUGAAAAGUAUUACCAUUUCUUGGACUCUUCUCCUUAAUAGCAGAUGGGUCUCUGGGCUGUCCCAAAGGUUCUGUAAAGAAGGGAUGCCUUCCUCUAAAUUGUGGCACUCAUGACUUCAUCUUUCAUUUCUAAGACUUUGGAUUGCCACGUUGUUAUGAAUUGGCCUCAAACACUGGAGUGCCAGGAAAGCUAUUGAUGUGAUAUUCAGUGGAUUGAUGACAUGAUCACUGAAAGGGCUAGAGAUCAGGUAGCCCUUCUCCUGAAAGUUAUUAAAGUCAAAAUAAACAGUGAUAAAUGUAAGCCUUGUUUUGUUAGUAUGAUGCCCCUAUUUCAGCAUACUGUGUUGUGCUGCUGCUACUAUAUAAGUAUCUGAAAAUAAGUUUGAUCUGCAGAGUGUGAACUAGCUGGGAAUGCUUUGUGUGAGCAUGGUUGGACAUAAGCACCUGAGAAAGAUUCUCUAUGUAUGGCAUUUUAUCUGUUGCAUCUUACACUGAUUCACUUGUAUUUGAUGCAGGUAUUUAGUGUAACAUGGAGUCUUGUGAGAAGGCCUCCAGCCUAAGACGUUUUGUGUUAAUUACGAUGAAAAAAACCCACACAACUUUGUUACUGUUUUGAUACUGGGAAAGGCUAUAAUAGCAGUCUGUGUGUUCUUCAUCUUACAGCCUGCCAGCGUUCCCCAUUGCCAUGGUGGCAGGGAUAGUCAUCGGUACGGUUACAGGUGUCUCACCGCUCAUCUCUAUUGUCGUGUGUCUUGUCGUGAGAAAGAACAACUCUAAAAAACGUUACUCUGGCUGCAGUACCUCUGAGAGCUUGAUGUCACCGGUUAAGCAGGCUCCGCAGAAGUCACCCUCCAACACAGAGGGUCUGGUAACAUUGUUUGCCCUAGC